rnacentral:lncRNA from 10 species
GGAAAGGAGAAAAUGAGAAUUAGAAGACUGGAGUGCACGGAAGUUGAUAAUGCAGAUUGUUUUAAGAAAAAAAGGAGAGUUCAAUUUUGUCAAAUGCUGUUGAUACGAUCCUUUGGAUUUAGUAACAUGAAGACUAUUGGUGAACCCAGGGACAGCUAUUCCCAUGCAAGAGUGAAGAAAGAAUAGAUAAUGCUCAUUCAUCCUUUCAUUAUUUUGAUAAAUAUUAAUUGGGCUUUUUGAGGACCACAGUUAAAGCAACGAACAGACAAAUAAGAUUUCUUCUUGACCAAAAGUUACAUUAUAGCCAAGAGAGAUAAACAAUAGAAAAUUAAAAUAAAAAGACAUGGUGACUUCUGACAAUGAAAAAUAUAAUGGGGAGAACAAGGCAAAUAAUAGAUAAAGUUGUUAGUGGGAGAGCUAAGUGAGAUGGGGUGAUCUGGUCAUGUUGAAGAUCUCUGCUGCAGCUCUCUGAUGAGGUUCCUCGAAAACUUGCACUGCAACUAGGACUUCCUAAAAAGGCCUGCUUACCGGGGAUCUGUGCUAGAGAUGGUAUCCUUGACUCCUAUUGUUGUCUCCAGAUGCUUUGAUAGUGCUAGCUUGCUGACAACAUAGAUGCCUGUGUGCAUCUCUUCUAUUGAACACCUGAGCUGUAGCUCUUCUCCAGGCGCUAAAGCAGCAAUGAUUUCUCUUGAGCCCUAAAUGCUUUGAGACAAAGAUGGCUAACUAGAGACACUGGACACCAGUUCUCCUCAGAAAGAAGGACCAAAAUUACAUAUAGAUAAUCACAUCUUGAAUAGGCUAUCAAGGAGGGUUUACUAGAACCCAAUAGAGAACUCCUGGGAAAACAACAACAACAAAAAAAAACUGAGGCACAGAAAAGGAAGAAAGCAAGAGGCCAACGUGGCUAGCAUAGAUCAGCUGGGAGUCACAAGGGACUUGGUGUUGUGUGGAAAAGACGGUGCCGCUUUCCUUCGGUGUCCACUGUACAAAAUGCUACCUACUUUGGGAUGCAGCGUCUCUUGAUGAAGCAACCUCCCUGCCAAAAAAUUCAGAAUAUGGAUCAGUACAGGGUCAUUUUGAAUUCCCUUAGGCUGCAAGAAACAUAUCCAGCUUGGAAUCAACUGGAGACAGAUGCCUUAUUUCCUAGCACCAGAAUUUCCUGUGUAGAAUAUUUUCUACAGUUCUGGAAGUGAUAGCUUGUGGGCAUUUCUGUUUAAUCACUUUAUCUCCAAAAUUGUGUGAACAAUAUCAGCUUAACGUGAGCCUUUCUGACACUAGAGAAACUAAACAUGUGAAAAUAGAGCUAAUUCUCUUUUUAACUAUCUGGGAGUAAUUCUUCACAAAAGCCUGGACUGCUUUUUUGAAGUUUCUCCAAGCUUCUCUCCAGUCCUAUUACACCAAAGAUUAGGCCUGCAGCCUAAUGGAAACAAAGCAACAGGAUCCUGUCAAUAUCUACUACGACAAUAUAAGAAGAAUUACACCCAGAGCCACAUUUUGCUUCAAGUCUUUUCAUUUAAAACAUGUAUAGCAUUAAACUCUUGGGUAAUAAUGGGUAGCUAGAAGCAUUAGUCUUAAGCUCAUUAGGGAUAUGCACAUUUGGGAAACCAAUAUAUACCCUCUUUUGUGAUUGAAAAGGAAGAGUUUUUCUCCAAAAGUUACCAAAUAAUACUACCAAGAAACACAUGAAUCUGGUAUCAUUUUAAAAACUUUCCAAGUAUGCCUCCAUAUAUUACUUUUGCAACUUAAAAAAGACUGUAAACCAUCUUGGCAAAGAAGAAUAAAGUGAUCUGAAUCACUCUAGCUGAUGUUAAGGCUUAUUGUGUAGCAAAAAGUAACCAAGACAGUGCAUGAUGGCAGAGAGAUAGACAUGUAUGUCCAUGGAACAGAAUAGAGAACUCAUAAAUAGAAAAUUUCUGGGGUGUAAGGCGGCAAAGAGUUCUUCCCUUGACAUCAAAAAUACAUGCCAUGAGAGAAAAAAAUUGAUAAACUGAACUUCCUCAAAAUUAAAAGAUUUGCUUUGCAGAGAUUCUGUUAGGAAGAUGAAAAGACAAGCCACAGAUUGGGAGACCUGCAUCCACAUAUCGGACAAGGAACUGAAACCUGGAAUAUAUGGAGAAGAAUACGUGACACCCUUCCAGAAAAUGGCACUUCUCCAUCCAAACUUGCUUCUUUUGGAGCUACCAUUGUACAAGCUGAAGGAUAAAGUGGAAAGGAAGCAUCCCAGCUUUUCUCCAUAUUAAAAGAACUAAAUUAGUAGACAAGCUAGGUCAAUGGCAGUUUUAGAAAAUGAUAUUUUGUGGCACUCUAAAUACUUACAUUACAUAAACAGAGUAAUGACGUAUGGUACUCUGUCAGUACUAUGCACAAGUUGAAACUAAAAUUAAUUUCCUACAAAACUAUUUUAAAGUGGCAUAUUUAUACACAAACAGAAGAGCAAUGCAAAGCCCCUAGCAAGUGGGCAAAGAUUCAGGGUUCAAUCAUAAUCCAAAAGAGAACUGUUAAACCAAAGCUGUUUAACCCGUAAGAACAAAGUAGUGAGAACCAUGUUGAAAGGCCAGUCCAGUGUGAUUAUGACAAAACUGAAAAAGAGAAAAUUGUAAUUUUGCAAAUACAAUUUAGUUUUGUUUAGGAUAGGAAUUCCAAAGGAUACUCCUGAAUUGAGUUUAGGAUCCAAGGUCUAAAGGACAGAAAGGAAGCAGUAAAACUCUAAACAAACAUUAAAAAAAAAAAAAAGCCAGAAGUCAUAGUGUUGGGUCACUGAAUCCCAGAGCAGUGAAAGAAGGCAUUAGAGAACUCACAUUUAUGGAGGAGCUAAAACAUGCCUCACACUAUACACUUGCCAUCAUACUAAAACCUAAAAUAACUUAUGAGAUUAGUAAUUUAUAUUUCCAUUUUGCAGACAAUGAAAUUGAGAUUAAAGGAGUAAUUAACAGUCCCAAGAUUAUAAGUCUCAAAACAGGUGUUGCCUAGCUCUUCCUCUGCAUUGUAACAACAAAAUGCUAAUGUAAAUGAAUUAGACCUUAAUAUGGCUUCAAUUUGUAUCGUGAGCCACAAGAAACCUUAAUAUUCAUUAUUUUUUCUUUCUUUAAACUGAAGCUUUGAACUGAGCUAAAUUUGAUAUGCCCAUUCCUUCUUGUCAGAUAGGGAGACUAAUCCUUAGAAAAACCCAACGGCUUUUUUGAAGACACACAUGGUAGGAUGGAUUUUUUACUCUGUGCAAGGGUCUGUCAGGUUCCAAGUGAAGUGCUCCUCCUAUGACACAGAGACAACCUGUUGCUAUAGCAGCUCUAUUAGCAUUAUUUUAUAAUCCUCAAAUCACUAUAAUCCUGAGUAUGGUAUUAUCUGCUCUAGUCCCAUUUCCAGAGUCAGUCCUAACAGAGCUGCUGUAGCAAUGGCUGGUCUCUGUGCCCAUUAUCAUUUGCAGGCAUGCUAGUGAGUUUGCAAACAAGUGCUGCCUCUACUGGCUGAGAUCAUGAGCAAAUUACAUAGUCUUUACCGUGUUGCCCUUCCCUCAUAUAUAAACAAUGAGGAAUAAUAGUGCCACAGGAUCCACCCCUUAAGUUUCAGUAAAAAAAAAAAAAAAAGCACUGGAAUAUAUAUAUAUAUAUAUAUAUAUAUAUAUAUAUAUAUAUAUACACAUACACACACACAUAUAUAUACAUCUAUAUAUAGUGCUCAAUAAUAUAUAUGAUUAGUAAUAGUAGCAAUAUUAAUAGUAGUAAUGAUUACUCAUAAAGUAAGAAAGUAUUAGGAAUGUAUAAGAAAAGAUAGAAAAUAAGGUAGGGAGGAUGGCCAAAAUAUUCUAUUUUAAUCUGUUUUAUUUUGAAAUGUUCUGCCUGAGUGGAUUAACAAAAAAUGGCAUUUCCACUGUUGCCUUUCAUAGCAGUGAUAUAUAUCAAGGCUUUUAUAUACUGACAAUAGAAACUAAGGCUAAAAUUGAUAUUUAUGUUGAUAUUAUAAAUGCUUAAAAAUAAAUAUAAAGUAUUAUAAUUUGCAUUUUGUUC